GUGCAGCAGUCGCGAAACCUCCGCAAUGCACGCAAGUGCGACGGGGGAACCCCAAGUGCCACUCUUAACGGGGUGGCUUUUCAGAAGUGUAAAAAGCUUCUGGAAUAAGGGCUGGGCAAGACCGGUGCCAGCCGCCGCGGUAACACCGGCAGCUCAAGUGGUAGCCGCUUUUAUUGGGCCUAAAGCGUCCGUAGCCGGUCUGAUAAGUCUCUGGUGAAAUCCCACAGCUUAACUGAGGGAAUUGCUGGAGAUACUAUCAUGACUCGAGGUCGGGAGAGGCUGGAGGUACUCCCAGGGUAGGGGUGAAAUCCUGUAAUCCUGGGAGGACCACCUGUGGCGAAGGCGUCCAACUGGAACGAACCUGACGGUGAGGGACGAAAGCCAGGGGCGCGAACCGGAUUAGAUACCCGAGUAGUCC
rnacentral:rRNA from 1 species